rnacentral:rRNA from 1 species
UAAGGAAUAUUGGACAAUGGAGGCAACUCUGAUCCAGCCAUGCCGCGUGAAGGAAUAAGGCCCUAUGGGUUGUAAACUUCUUUUAGACGGGACAAAACCCCUUUACGUGUAAAGGGUUGAUGGUACUGUCAGAAUAAGCAUCGGCUAACUUCGUGCCAGCAGCCGCGGUAAUACGAAGGAUGCAAGCGUUAUCCGGAAUUAUUGGGUUUAAAGGGUGCGUAGGCGGACUAAUAAGUCAGUGGUGAAAGCCUGCAGCUUAACUGCAGAAUUGCCAUUGAUUCUGUUAGUCUUGAGUACAGUUGAGGUAGGCGGAAUGUGUCAUGUAGCGGUGAAAUGCUUAGAUAUGACACAGAACACCGAUUGCGAAGGCAGCUUGCUAAGCUGUAACUGACGCUGAGGCACGAAAGCGUGGGGAGCAAACA